rnacentral:tRNA from 1 species
GCCCUGGUGGCCAAACGGUUAAGUGCUCGGCUGUUAACUGAAAGGUUGGUGGUUCAAACCCACCCAGAGGCU